CGAAUUAAGAAAUGUAAUUUAAAUAGAAGAUGAAGCAUAAUUAAAAAUGUACGAAUAUGAAUCAAAAUAAAGGUGCUCUUUAAGGAAGUAAUUACAGUACAGGUAUAUGAAAAAAUAUAUGUAUUUUGUCUAUUGUUCUAUGUUAUUUGUUCAGUUUUGUUUAAUAUCGCACAAUUGAAAAUAAAAUAGUCUUACAUUCUUUACAACCAUUUUCUAUGAUGGCACAGAGUAUGAUGUUGUAAAUGUACCGUCCAUAGAUGGCGGGACAGUCGGACGUCACGAAGAAAAUAAUGGGUUUUAAAGAGAGUUUAUUGUCCCUUCUCCCUAACCCUCAGACCUCAGUGAAGGGACGCCGGGGUGGAGGUUGUCCCACCAGCCAACUGCACUAAUAUCACUUAAGAAGUUACGAAAACACUUGUAUCAGCCUCUACAUACAACAAUAAGAACCACAUAACAUCACAUCAUCUUACUGUUUACUGGAGGAGCCACCAAGAACAGCUCAGACGGCUAACAAUGCUGUUGACUGAAGUCCUCUAUAAACUUCACAGAGUGACGGUAGAAAUAGAAAACAUCACUACAGAGAGGAUGAGAACCAUAACUUGGUUUCCAGAUGACACAGCACAAUCAAGAAAAAUGAUCAAGACUACAGAAAAAGAUGAAUCUGCCCUAAAUAAGUGUAUCUACCCAACACGACUGGAUUUGUUUUCCCCAAAGACAUUAGCCCACUUACUGACCCACAUUGGGGCCUGAUGGGGUGAAAAUAAGAAG